GUGCUCGCUUUGGCAGCACAUAUACUAAAAUUGGAAUGAUACAGAGAAGGUUAGCAUGGGCCCUGCACCAGGAUGACACGCAAAUUCAUGAAGCACUGCAUUUUUUU